rnacentral:lncRNA from 1 species
CAGGAUGUUACUUUCGAAGGGGGCAUUGACUAUGCAUACGGAGAAACAAAACCCUAAUUCGAUCUCUUGCUUGGACCGAUGUGGAGUGGAGUGGUAUUAGAUUCGAUCUCUUGGAUUAUGUGGAGCAGUGUUAGUUUAAUCUUGUCUUGCUGUCGGUUAGAGGAUAGGGAUGGCCCCAGAUAGAUUUAGACAUAUGCACACAUAAUCGUGGAUAGAGAGAGAGGGGGGGUCACUGUUACAGAGAAACAUUGAGGGCUUCUUUGGUUCCAGGAGGUUCAUAGGAACUUGGAGGACUCCACUCCUUGGGAAUCAUA